rnacentral:rRNA from 1 species
AUUGAACGCUAGCGGCAUGCCUUACACAUGCAAGUCGAACGGCAGCACGGGCCAACCUGGUGGCGAGUGGCGAACGGGUGAGUAAUGCAUCGGAACGUACCUUUAAGUGGGGGAUAACGUAGCGAAAGCUACGCUAAUACCGCAUAUUCUGUGAGCAGGAAAGCAGGGUAUCGCAAACACUUGCGCUGAUUGAGUGGCCGAUAUCCGAUUAGCUAGUUGGUUAGGUAAGGGCUCACCAAGGCGACGAUCUGUAGCGGGUCUGAGAGGAUGAUACGCCACACUGGAACUGAGACACGGUCCAGACUCCUACGGGAGGGAGCAGUGGGGAAUUUUGGACAAUGGGGGCAACCCUGAUCCAGCCAUGCCGCGUGAGUGAAGAAGGCCUUCGGGUUGUAAAGCUCUUUCGGCCGGGAAGAAAUCGUAUCAGCUAAUACCUGGUGCGGAUGACGGUACCGGCAUAAGAAGCACCGGCUAACUACGUGCCAGCCGCCGCGGUAAGAC